CAUCACUACGCUAGAUGCAUAUCAAUAAGCGGAGGAAAAGAAACUAACAAGGAUUCCCUUAGUAACGGCGAGUGAAGCGGGAAGAGCUCAAAUUUGUAAUCUUCAAGGUUCUACCUUGACGAAUUGUAGUUUAUAGAAGUGUUUUCUGUUAGUAGAGGUGGUAAAAGUUCUUUGGAAUAGGACAUCAUAGAGGGUGAGAAUCCCGUAUUUGGUCACUUUCUACUAGCUUUGUGAUACACUUUCAACGAGUCGGAUUGUUUGGGAAUGCAGUCCAAAAUGGGUGGUAAAUUUCAUCUAAAGCUAAAUAUUGGCGAGAGACCGAUAGCGAACAAGUACCGUGAGGGAAAGAUGAAAAGAACUUUGAAAAGAGAGUUAAACAGUACGUGAAAUUGUCAAAAGGGAAGCGUUUGACACCAGUGUUGUUUAGUUGAAAAUCAAUUCAAUAAUUUUUGAUUUUAAGUAGUAUUGACUUCAUCAGCUUGCUGCUUUCUUUUCGGAAAUUAUGGAAUGCACUUUUCAGUUAACAAGUCAACAUCAAUUUCUUUUGUUGUAAAAGGGUAAGAGGAAGGUGGCUUACGCUUCGGCGUAAGUGUUUAUAGCCUUUUACCUCUGCAAUCGGAGAGAUUGAGGACAGCAGCGUAGACUCUUCGGGGUUAGAUACACUUGUGCUAAGCUAUAGCCUUGUAUAGACAACUUGUUGACUAUGCUCAGUCAUGUAGCUUACUCGCUUGUGCUAUUUUACCUACGCUUAGGAUGUUGACACACGCGCGUGCUCG
rnacentral:rRNA from 1 species